GCAAUAGGUACGCGGCCGGUAGAACUGCGCGCGCCGCUAAGCGGAAGCUACGGUGGGAGCCGCAGCGCGCGUGGUCAGCGGCUAUGGAGGGCGCAAAGCGUGCAGACGCCAAUUUACUCACUGACACCGGAACAGAGUCCAGCCCCCGAAGUCCAGUCUGCAGUCUCCGGCACUUUGCUUGUGAGCAAAACCUGCUGUCCCGGCCGGAUGGAUCUGCUUCUUUUCUUCAAGGUGAUACCUCUGUCCUGGCUGGAGUCUAUGGGCCGGCCGAGGUGAAGGUCAGCAAAGAAAUCUUCAACAAGGCCACCCUUGAAGUGAUCCUGAGGCCGAAGAUCGGGCUGCCUGUCUCCCUCCAGAGGCUGGACCAAGCAGAGCAAGACGACGGGGUGGAAGGGAAGAGCCUGACCGCUUCCCGUCUCCCCAGGCGUGGCCGAGAAGAGCCGCGAGCGGCUGGUCAGGAAUACCUGUGAAGCUGUGGUUCUAGGGGCCCUGCACCCCCGGACCUCAAUCACCGUGGUGCUGCAGGUGGUGAGCGACGCUGGCUCUCUCUUGGCCUGUUGCUUGAACGCUGCUUGCAUGGCAUUGGUGGAUGCAGGUGUGCCCAUGCGAGCCCUCUUCUGUGGGGUCACCUGUGCCCUGGACUCUGAUGGAAAUCUCGUGCUGGACCCCACAACCAAGCAAGAAAAGGAGGCCCGGGCCAUCCUGACCUUUGCUCUGGAUAGCGCCGAGCAGAAGCUGCUCAUGUCCACCACCAAGGGGCUCUAUUCUGACGCUGAGCUCCAACAGUGUCUGGCCGCCGCCCAAGCCGCCUCACAGCACAUCUUCCGAUUCUACCGGGAAUCACUGCAGAGGCGCUACUCGAAGAGCUGAGGCACGCCAGGGUAGGGCGCCCCUCCCACCAUGCCCACCGCCUACCACCGCCACGAGCCAGCACUCCACUGUGCCUCUGUCUGUGCCCAUGUAGCCUCUGGUCCUGUCGCAGCGGAGGCUCCUGUGCCAGGCUGGGGUGGGGGCUUAGGGACAUUCUAGGCCUGGGUAUAACCCUCCCUUCAUCAGGAUACCAUUAAAAAGGGCUCCCCCGUGUUGGGUGAGUGAGUCAGUACCCACUGA